rnacentral:lncRNA from 1 species
CCUCCCACCUCAGCCUCCUGAGUAUAGCUGGUGCUUCAGGUUCAAGUGGGAUGAGAAGACAGUGAAAUUUAUGUGAUCUGAUGAUGAUAAGUGCUGUGGAGAAAAAUAAACCAGGGAGAGAAGAGAACGUGCUGGGGAGAAGGGGACUCUAGUGAUUUCAAUGUUGAAUAGGAUGGCCAAGAAAGGCCUCUUCCUCUGCUGGUGCUGGACAGCUGAGCAAGACAGAAGGACAGAAAGACAGCAAAUAUCAGGCUAAGAGGAUGUUUGGGGAAGUGUACCCCCACAGAGAACAACUUCAAGGACUCCGAGGCGGAGAGACACAGCCGAACCAGUGCCAGGGGAACAGACGGGCCCAUCAGACCCCAAAGCGAGCAUGCUGUCUCCCGUUCCACAGACACACAUCACCUGGCUCCGACGACCAGCCUGCAGGGCCACUCCCAAGCGUUCUAAGGAACAGGGCACCAGCCUGUCUCAGACCCCAGGCCAGUGUGGGAAGCACAGUCAUUUAACUUACAUGACUCUGGCUUAUUUGGAUUGGGUUUGACAAAAGAGGAAGAGAACAGAACACAUUUUUCUCCUGUCUUUCAAAUUAAGAAAGAAAUACCUAGAACAUUUAAUUAAAUAAAUACAAGAAUAAAAAUUAUGCA